UUUGAUCCUGGCUCAGGACGAACGCUGGCGGCGUGCUUUACACAUGCAAGUCGAACGAUGAUGGGGUGCUUGCAUCCCUGAUUAGUGGCGAACGGGUGAGUAACACGUGAGUAACCUGCCCCAGACUCUGGGAUAACUCCGGGAAACCGGGGCUAAUACUGGAUAUCAUUUCUGCCUGCAUGGGUGGUUGUUGAAAGGGUUUCUGGUCUGGGAUGGGCUCGCGGCCUAUCAGCUUGUUGGUGGGGUGAUGGCCUACCAAGGCGAUGACGGGUAGCCGGCCUGAGAGGGUGACCGGCCACACUGGGACUGAGACACGGCCCAGACUCCUACGGGAGGCAGCAGUGGGGAAUAUUGCACAAUGGGCGCAAGCCUGAUGCAGCGACGCCGCGUGAGGGAUGACGGCCUUCGGGUUGUAAACCUCUUUCAGUAGGGAAGAAGCUUUCGGGUGACGGUACCUGCAGAAGAAGCGCCGGCUAACUACGUGCCAGCAGCCGCGGUAAUACGUAGGGCGCAAGCGUUGUCCGGAAUUAUUGGGCGUAAAGAGCUCGUAGGCGGUUUGUCGCGUCUGCUGUGAAAUCCCCAGGCUCAACUUGGGGCGUGCAGUGGGUACGGGCAGACUAGAGUGCGGUAGGGGAGACUGGAAUUCCUGGUGUAGCGGUGGAAUGCGCAGAUAUCAGGAGGAACACCGAUGGCGAAGGCAGGUCUCUGGGCCGUUACUGACGCUGAGGAGCGAAAGCAUGGGGAGCGAACAGGAUUAGAUACCCUGGUAGUCCAUGCCGUAAACGUUGGGCACUAGGUGUGGGGUCUGUUUCCACGGAUUCCGCGCCGUAGCUAACGCAUUAAGUGCCCCGCCUGGGGAGUACGGCCGCAAGGCUAAAACUCAAAGGAAUUGACGGGGGCCCGCACAAGCGGCGGAGCAUGCGGAUUAAUUCGAUGCAACGCGAAGAACCUUACCAAGGCUUGACAUACUUGAGAAGCCACCAGAGAUGGUGGUCUCUUUGGACACUCAUGUACAGGUGGUGCAUGGUUGUCGUCAGCUCGUGUCGUGAGAUGUUGGGUUAAGUCCCGCAACGAGCGCAACCCUCGUCCUAUGUUGCCAGCACGU
rnacentral:rRNA from 1 species